rnacentral:lncRNA from 1 species
AUAAACAAAUGUUGGAAGAAUGGUGAAUCUUUCCUCUAGUACCUCACUGCAUCCUCUAGCCCCUCACUGCUCCUUCAGCUCCUUACCACAUCCUUCAGUCCCUCCCUGUGUCCUUCAGUCCCUCAACGAUUCCUUCAGCUCCUCACUAUUUCCUUCACAGUUCUGGGUGUUAAAUUCAGAUCUUCAUGCUUGUAGGGCAAACACUUGGCCAACUGAGCUAUCUCUUCAGCCUUGGAAACUGUACUCUAAUUUUAACUUUGGGUUUUUCCCUAAGCUAACGAAAUGCAGUACAGCCCAUUGGGCAAUGCUGGGCAGCAGCAGAAGCCCUAUCAUCACAAGGAAAAUAAUCAAUAUAGUGUACUGUAAGCUACUCAUAGGUGCUGGGAAUUAAACUCGG